rnacentral:tRNA from 1 species
UAUACUGAAGUAUACGAAGUACAUUAAUUUUUGAUAUUAAUAGAGGUAGUUUAAUUCUAUCCAGUAUAA